GACGAACGCUGGCGGCGUGCCUAAUACAUGCCAGUAGAACGCACAGUUUAUACCGUAGCUUGCUACACCAUAGACUGUGAGUUGCGAACGGGUGAGUAACGCGUAGGUAACCUGCCUGGUAGCGGGGGAUAACUAUUGGAAACGAUAGCUAAUACCGCAUAAUAUUAAUUAUUGCAUGAUAAUUAAUUGAAAGGUGCAAUUGCACCACUACCAGAUGGACCUGCGUUGUAUUAGCUAGUAGGUGAGGUAACGGCUCACCUAGGCGACGAUACAUAGCCGACCUGAGAGGGUGAUCGGCCACACUGGGACUGAGACACGGCCCAGACUCCUACGGGAGGCAGCAGUAGGGAAUCUUCGGCAAUGGACGAAAGUCUGACCGAGCAACGCCGCGGGAGUGAAGAAGGUUUUCGGAUCGUAAAGCUCUGUUGUAAGAGAAGAACGGGUGUGAGAGUGGAAAGUUCACACUGUGACGGUAUCUUACCAGAAAGGGACGGCUAACUACGUG
rnacentral:rRNA from 1 species